UUAAUCGGGUUUGGAACGUCACUACGACACGCCAAUCAGGCGCUAUGACGUCGCAGAAGCAGAAGAGGAACCAGGCUGUUUGUUUCUUUACUUGCCGGUUUUCUCCGAUUCUCUGCAAGUUUCUCCUACUCCACGUAUCCUCGUACUACCGCACUCUGUUAUCAGUCCCUCCUGGUCCCCGAAAUCGCUCCCUGGGCAAGAUGGCUCAGUCCACUGGCCGCGCAACAGUGGCGUCUGCUCACCCCAGUAGACAGCAAACAGCUGCCAUUCUCCAGGAAGGAGGAAGGAGGCAAUUUCAGUGGUGACGCGAACAACAGACGAAUAAGGUAAGAGAUGAAAAAAAACGGGGCGUGUACUCGUGAGCAGGACGCACACAUGAUUAUUACUCGAGCAUGUGGGAAAUAAACAGUGAGGCUGGGCUAUCAAAUACCUGGCCGUUACACUCCCCCCCCCUUGUGAAGACCGAGCCAGAGAGGGUUACAACUCUUCCAUGAUUCCAAAAAGGUAGUAUCACUCAUGAUAUUGUUUUCUACAGCUCGUUUCCAGAUCAGAUACAAACCCUGGAAAAUCUUCAUCAUCACUUUCUUCCCGAAAAAUUUCAAGAACCCUUCUUGUCUGGGCUCUAUCCCAUUCCUUGGCUGAGGGGUAGCAAGGUUUCAUUUGAGCUAAAUGAACCACCCGAAGGUCCUCUCCUGUAUCUUCAGUGACCACUUCAAAAUUCACCGGUCCGGUUCUACGUACAACGCGGUAAGGCCCCUUCCACCUCGGAGCAAGCUUUGCGGUGAAAGACUUGUCUCCUUUCGAUAAUGGGUGUGUACGGAUCCAAACACGAUCUUCUUCAUUGAAUUCACCAUCACGCCUUCCUUUAUCAUAUUGUUGUUUUUGCUUGUGUUUCGCUCUUUUCAGAUUUUCCAUGGCAAAUCUUCUGAGUUCCUCCAUUUGCUUAGCAGUAGCAUAAGCAGCAGUAUCGGGGUUCCCUAGAUGAGGGCUCAACUCAGCAUCCAAUGGACCUUUGAGAACACGACCAAUAUUCAGCUCGGCGGGAGUCACUCCAGUAGGCUCAUGUACAACUGUGUUAAGGGCAAAACGAAAUUCAGGUAGGAACUUAUCCCAGGAGGUAUGUUUGUUUUCUACAUAAGAAGCAAGCAGGACUUUGAUGUUACGAUUGAUUCUCUCUGUCAGAUUUGUUUGAGGAUGGUAAGCAGAGGUUUUCUUCUGGAAAAUAUUCCACCUUUUACAGGUCUCCUCGUACACAGACGAUAAGAACUGUGGACCCUGGUCAGACAGGAGGUAAGUGGGGACACCCCAUCGGGUUACAAUUUCUUUAACCAAGUACUGAGAGACAACCUCUGCUGUGGCUUUACGUAGAGGAAACAGUUCCACCCAACGGCUGUAAUAGUCAACGAAGACCAAAAGAUACAUGUUGCCAUGGGAACUACGUGGAAAAGGGCCCAUCAAAUCUACCCCUAACAUUUCCCAAGGACCAUGCACUUUGGUUUGUUGCAGCUUUCCAGGAGGUUUGCGCGUCUCUGGUUUAUACUUCUGACAGGUGAGACAACGUUGCACAUAGUUACGAACAUCCAGGCUCAUUCGUGGCCAAUACACUAAUGCUUGUAAUCUCUUAUAGGUCUUAUAUCGCCCAAAAUGUCCAGAGAGCGGAUCAUUAUGAUAGUGAUGGAGGAGUUGUGGACGGAGUGAAGGAGGAAUGUAUACUUGAUAAAUGGUCUUAUGGGGAAGCUUCACCACACGGUAUAUCUUAUCCUCUAAUACUGUGUACUGGGUUGUUAGAUCUUCAGCCACUUCUCCUUUUUCCAUUAUUUCUUUAUAUAAAUCUUGAGCAUAAGGAUCCUGUUGUUGGGCUCUCCAAAUAGUUUCAUCAGUUACAUGAAGAGGACUAAAAGUGUCUCUGUUAGAACGGAGCACAGCAGCACAGGUGGCACGGGGAAACUCUAUUUCCAAUGGAGCUCGUGAUAGAGCAUCAGGAACAAUAUUGGAUUUCCCUUUUCGAUACUCAACCGUAAAUGAGAAUUCUUGGAGGCGCAAGGCCCAACGAAUGAGCCUUGUACUUGGCUUCUGUGUUUUAAAAACCCAGACAAGAGAAGAAUGAUCCGUAAUCACAGUAAAGUGACGCCCCUCCAGGUAAUAACGCCAUUUUUCAAUCGCCCAAACUACAGCUAGGCACUCCUGCUCAGUAGUGGAGUAAUUCCGCUCUGCUGCGUUUAGGGUACGGCUAGCAAAGGCGAGCACUUGCUCUGUCCCCAGUCCAGUUUGUUGGGCCAGCACAGCUCCUAAACCAACAUCACUGGCAUCGGUAUAAACCACAAAGGGCAAGUUAAAAUCAGGAUGUCCAAGGAUUGGCGGAGAGAUCAAAUACUGUUUUAAUUUCUCAAAUGAAGUUUGGCAUGUAGGAGUCCAAAUAUACUUUGCUCCCUUCCUUUUUAGUGCAUUUAAUGGUUCUGUAAGUGUGGAGAAGUUUGGUACAAAUCUAUGAUACCAGCCAGCCAUGCCCAAAAAUCUCUGAAGCUGUUUCAGGUUCUGAGGGACGGGAAAAUCCUGCACAGCUUUGCUCUUCUCGGUGUCCACUGCUACACCGUCAGAUGACACAACAUGUCCCAGAAAUGUAAGCGAAGUCCGGAAGAACUGGCUUUUCUUCAUGUUGACUGUGAGGUUAGCUUCACGCAAUUUAUCCAAGACCUUUUGUAUGUCCUGUUGAUGUUGUAGAUGAGAAUGAGAGUAGAUGAUAAUGUCAUCAAGAUAAACAAAACAGAUUUUUCCACGCAGCUCUCCAAGGACAAUCUCCAUCAACCGCUGGAAAGUAGCGGGGGCAUUUUUUAAUCCAAAUGGCAUCACUUUAAACUGAAAUAAACCAUAUGGACAUACAAAGGCAGUCUUCUCACAACUGUCUGGAUCCAUUUUGACCUGCCAAUAUCCACUGUUAAGGUCUAGAGUGGUAAAAAUCCUAGCUCCAGCCAGUGAUUCCAGGAUCUCUUGGAUGUUGGGCAGAGGAUAUGAGUCCGUCUGAGUAGCAGCAUUGACCUUCCUGAAAUCAACACAAAAGCGAGGUUUGGGGUCACUUUUUUUUGGUACCAGAACAACUGGAGCUGCAUAUGGUGAGGAUGAGGGCUCAAUGAUGUUCCUUUUAAGCAUGUCAUCCACAUGUUCUUUAAUUACUUGGAGUUUGGCCGGAGAAACUCUGUAAGGUUUUUGUUUAAUAGGCAAAUCAUGCGAGAGGUAAAUUUUAUGGGUAAGUACCUCUGUACAUCCCAAAACGUCAGUACACACAGCAGAGUUUUCCUGAAGUUGGCAAUAUAAUAAUCUUUUACCAAAUUCGUCUAGGUGAGCCUGGGUGACAGCGUUCUGGAAGAGAUCAAGGCAUGAUGGAGUUGUUAAUAAUUGGGUUGGAGCAACAGCAGAGAAGAAGGCAACCUGAUGUGAGGGUGAGUUUAACAAUGCGGCUGACUCUUGCAGGAACUGAUAGUGUUUUCUCUGGUUAAAUUUAAACCAGUAUCUCUGCUCUGACACAUCAAAUUGUAGACCGGAAAGGGAUAUGAAAUCAAGACCCAGCACCACAGAAAAAGCAAGGCUUUGAACAGGCAGGAUUACACAAGGUAGUCUAAUGGCUCGGGAUUGUACAGUAAUGAUUAUUUCGCUCCAUCCAAACGGUUGUCUUUCUUGUCCAUCAGCCAAAUACAAAGGCCCUCUCUCCCAGGGCUGAAUAUUUCCAUUAAGUUCUGACCACACCCUUUCAUUGACCAGAGUAUAUGAAGAUCCUGUGUCCAGAAUAGCAGUUCCUUGCCAAGGUCCAAGGGUCACAGGAACUCUUAACUGGACUGGCAGAGAUCGACCCGGGGGGGUAAAAGCAACCCCAACUUCACUCUGGGGUUCCGAAGUAGUAAGAGACCCAACAGUGGCAGGUUUGUUUUGGACCGGAGAUGGUCUCGCUACCGGCUGAGAAGGACCUUGUGGUGAUGAGGUCCGAUUAGAGCCUCCAUGUGGACAAACGACAGGUAAAUGGUUCCCCUUACAUCGCCAACAGAAUGGUUCAAGUGGCCGUUUUUGAUUAUAAUUCUGUGUCUUCGGCCGCACAGUUUGUUCAGUGGUUGGUGGUCGAGAUUCAGCAGGCCUGGGUGUUGCAGCUUCACGCCUCCGUUGAUCAUAGUGAUGUUGAUUAUCUCGAUCUUGUUCCAACUGCUGGCCCAAACGAACAAGCUCGUCCACAGUGGUGACUCGACUACUACGCAGUUGGCUGGCCAAGGAGGGAUUGAUAUGUUUUAGAAUCAACUUAAUAAUAUCUUCCUCCUCAAUAUUCGAUUUCCAGCGUCUGCACAGUGAGUGAUACAUAUAUACAAAGUCUCUAAUACUUUCAUUUUCUCCUUGAACUCGAGUUCGUAUCCUUUCAGCGAGCUCAUCCUCAUAGUCCUCAGAGAGGAACGCAGCUCGGAACUGGUCUUGGAAAUCUGUCCAAGUGUGAAUUUUAUACCUUGCAACAUCCCACCAAUCUCUGGCUGUACCGUGUAGCACGUUACGUAAUGUGGCCAUCAACUCUUCAUCGGACAGCAAGGUGGUAAGGACUGGCGCCGUUUGUUCUCCAAUUGCUGGAUGACGAGCUGUAGACUCAAGUCUUGACCUGCUAAAAGUGACUAUAGGUGAACAAUGAGAGAGCUCCCCCUGCAAGCGGGUGAACUCCUCAUAUAAACAGGCAACACUUCCAGUCACUGGGGCAAGCAGAGUGCUGAUUUCCUGGAGAACCUCCGUAUGAUGAUGUUUCAAUCUCCAACUCAACGUCGCUUUGAACUGAGUUCACCAUUUGGGACUGAACUCCAGAUAUGGACAAAGACUCACUCGGUUGGGGAGUAACAGACUGAGCUGACAACGGAGACUUCAGUAGAUCCUCUCCUGUCAAUUCCAUGUCCAAAAGUGAAUAUGCUGUGGAGCAUGUUACAGGUGGUAGAGCAUUUUGUGGUUGGGGGGGGGAUACCUUUUCAAUUAAUGCAUCAAUAAAACCGUCCAUUGUUUUA